CUGGGAGGACCAUCUCCUAAGGCUAAAUACUCUCUAGUGACCGAUAGUGAACCAGUACCGUGAGGGAAAGGUGAAAAGCACCCCGGAAGGGGAGUGAAAUAGAACCUGAAACCGUGUGCUUACAAGUAGUCAGAGCCCGUUAAUGGGUGAUGGCGUGCCUUUUGUAGAAUGAACCGGCGAGUUACGAUUUGAUGCAAGGUUAAGCAGUAAAUGUGGAGCCGUAGCGAAAGCGAGUCUGAAUAGGGCGUUUAGUAUUUGGUCGUAGACCCGAAACCAGGUGAUCUACCCUUGGUCAGGUUGAAGUUCAGGUAACACUGAAUGGAGGACCGAACCGACUUACGUUGAAAAGUGAGCGGAUGAACUGAGGGUAGCGGAGAAAUUCCAAUCGAACCUGGAGAUAGCUGGUUCUCUCCGAAAUAGCUUUAGGGCUAGCCUCAAGUGAUGAUUAUUGGAGGUAGAGCACUGUUUGGACGAGGGGCCCCUCUCGGGUUACCGAAUUCAGACAAACUCCGAAUGCCAAUUAAUUUAACUUGGGAGUCAGAACAUGGGUGAUAAGGUCCGUGUUCGAAAGGGAAACAGCCCAGACCACCAGCUAAGGUCCCAAAAUAUAUGUUAAGUGGAAAAGGAUGUGGCGUUGCCCAGACAACUAGGAUGUUGGCUUAGAAGCAGCCAUCAUUUAAAGAGUGCGUAAUAGCUCACUAGUCGAGUGACACUGCGCCGAAAAUGUACCGGGGCUAAACAUAUUACCGAAGCUGUGGAUUGUCCUUUGGACAAUGGUAGGAGAGCGUUCUAAGGGCGUUGAAGCAUGAUCGUAAGGACAUGUGGAGCGCUUAGAAGUGAGAAUGCCGGUGUGAGUAGCGAAAGACGGGUGAGAAUCCCGUCCACCG
rnacentral:rRNA from 1 species